rnacentral:sRNA from 1 species
GCACCCUUACAUUAUUAAAAAAAAAAAUACAACGUGUGAGAUAAAUAAUACGUUCACAAGGCUAUCUUAAGUGGUCUGCAGGAGUUCUGAUGCCCCUGUACUUACUAACAGAAAGUAACUCAUUGUAGAUUACUCGCGCUUAAAAAUGUUAAAUACAGUUAAUGCAAUAUUAAUCGCCCUUUGGUGAUAUAAAAUGCAAUAUUUUCAGGCAGCUAUUGAGCUUUUCCAGAGGAAGGGCGAUGAGAAGAGUCGCAGCUGAAUAGUGGGAGAAAAAGCCUGGUAUUUAUUGCUUUUGUUUGGCUUUUGGCUACAGAGACAGGAACCUUCUAAUGGGGAGACAAAUUUGGUUGGUAGGCCAAAGAGCUCACAAGGACCAACACCCCUCCCCCCUUCGAGGGUCAGGAAUCAGCUUGAAGCACAAGGAUCUUCAUUUACUAGAUAGAAUCAGACAAUCAAAAGAACGGCCUACUGCUCUGUCUUCAUGCUAACAAUGGAGGGAGUAUCAGCAACAGAACGGUUGUAAAUUAUUUUUCCCUUGGUUUCAUAGUGGUUGCAUGGUACCUUAGGCUUGGGUGACCCCGCUUGUCUUAUUGAACACAUUUCAGUAGGCAUGGGCUUGCCUGUGUUUGACCUCCUCUCCCCUAUCAUCUUCUACCAGGGCAGAGAAAGCUGAACCUUACAUGGCCAUACAAAAGCUACCCCCAGCUUCAUACAGCCGUACUGCUAAGCCUUCUGCAAAGACAAAGGAAAGAUAAAUCUGGGAAAGGAGAACUAUAGAGGGACAUUCUAAUAAUGGAUGUCAGGGAACUGAUCCACCCUAGCCCUUAGUUUUCUGAAGACAAAAUCUUCCUGUAGGGAGAAGGUGAUACGUGUCAUUUGCAGCUCAAGUGCCCUGAUGGCUUCCCAUUCCUCAUGGUUUUAAGGUGAUACUUUCCAUGAGAUUUAUUCAGGAAUCUGCCUGUGCAUAGCACGUCCUAACACCCACUCUGCCCAUCUUCUGCAUGUAACUUAGCUAGCUACCUGAAAUGCAUGCUUCUCCUUAGCACAGACCUUUGCCCUGCUGAGUGCUACAGCCCUCCACAGUUUGGUUACUUUCCUGGAGAAGCCCUGUCUGGGACAUUUCAUUUUAUUUUCUGUGCUAUUAGAACUCCAAACUGAUUUCUUCUUAUGUCAUCCAGUCUUAUCUGUGUACUCGUUUAAAUGUCAUCUGUCUGUUGCUAGUAACCAGGGAGUUCAUUUGUCCAGAUUUAUGUGUUUCUGUAAAAACACUGGGAGUGGAAAGAUACCUGGUUUGAAUACUGUCUUCUUAGUGGUUGCACAGUGCCUGGAACACGUGAAUUUGCAUAUUUGCAUGCAUAUUUGAGAGUGAUCGUGUCAUUGCCCACAGACUAUAGAAGUAUGUUUAUAUUUCAAUGUCAAUUCAAAAUGCCCUUGUCUGAGUUCCAGCAGCAGCCGGGAGUUUUCAUUCCUGAUCUGUAGCAGCAAGCAGAGAACAUGACACUGGUUCUGGAAUGGACUUCUGAAACCUCAAUGCCUCUUCCACUGCCGCAAGUCCUACAAUAUGGCCACACCUCCCAAUACUUCCGAAACAGUUUCACUAAUUGGAAACCAAGCAUUCAAACCUGUGGCCUUAUGUGGGCCAUUCUCUUUCGAAUCACCACAGACAGAUCCUCUGACAGAUGUCUAAAUAUUUAUAGUCCUCAGUUUCCAGCUGCUUGUGAAAGGAUAAUAUUGUGUGAACAAAGGUUCAGUGAAGGUCUCUGCAGAGCAACCCAGGGAAGACCCUAUGACAAGGAAAAUGUAGCAACGCGGAUGUAGAGACGAAUCCCCACGGUUGGCAGAAGCAUGAUCAUGUCUUCAUCUGAAUAUAAUGAAGAAAUAAUGGAUCCGAAAUCUGCUAUCAAAGGAGUUGUGAAGAGCGGCACUUGUCAGCAUAAUACCGAUAGGAAGAACAUGGAGUUAAAUGAGAAGGAGAUACAGAGACCUACAACGGACAUGAUGCAUAGUGAGAUACCUUGGAACACUCAGCCCUAAGAGGGAUGACUCCAUUCAUCCUUCUCCUCACGGCUCAGGGAACCUGUGGAAGAGGGGCAGAAAGAGCCAGAGACGACAGAGGACACUGAGAAAGCAAGACCCUAUAAAUCAACAUGAGUAAAGCUCACAUAACUUACAAAGACUGGAGCAGUGCGCACAGGGCUUGUGGUAGUCUGCACCAGGUCCGUGGCACAUAAUGAUGCUUGUUUGUUUGUCUUGCCCAACUCUGUUAGUUUCUUUUUUUAUUUAACUAGUACGAUUAUAGUACAUCAUUAUACUUAUUACCCCUUAGAAGCCUGUUUGUUUUCUAGUGAGAGACCGAAAGGUAGAGGAUGAAGAUGAGAGGAGAGGUGGAGAGAGACUUGGAGGAGUAGAGGGGAGGGAAGCCAUAAUCAGCAUAUUCUAGAUGAGAAAAUAAAUCCAUUUUCAAUGAAAGAAAAAAAUAUGGAAAUUCCCUCCUGUGAUGGUUUGCCUAUGCUUGGCCCAGGGAGUGGCACUGU